rnacentral:lncRNA from 1 species
GUCAGUGUUUGUCUUAUAUAUGUACUUUAAAAUUUUAGUCUUACAUGUAUAUAAUUAUGUAUAUAAAAAAGAAGAUGUGGUAUGAUUGCCAAUGAGACAACUAUCCACAAAAGACCAAAAUGACACAGACAUUAACAACUAUAGGUCACCGUACGGCCUUCAACAAUGAGAAAAGCCCAUACCGCAUAGUCAGCUAUAAAAGGCCCCGAUAAGACAAUGUAAAACAAUUCAAACGAGAAAACUAACGGCCUUAUUUAUGUAAAAAAAAAAAUGAACGAAAAAC